GGCCCUGUAAUUCAACAGGAUAGAUCGCGAUCUUCUAAAUCGCGGGUGGAUGUUCGAGUCAUCCCAGGGCCACCA
rnacentral:tRNA from 3 species